AGUGAACGCUGGCGGUUGGCCUAACACAUGCAAGUCGAACGGCAGCACAGUAAGAGCUUGCUCUUACGGGUGGCGAGUGGCGGACGAGUGAGGAAUACAUCGGAAUCUACUUUUUCGUGGGGGAUAACGUAGGGAAACUUACGCUAAUACCGCAUACGACCUACGGGUGAAAGCAGGGGAUCUUCGGACCUUGCGCGAUUGAAUGAGCCGAUGUCGGAUUAGCUAGUUGGCGGGGUAAAGGCCCACCAAGGCGACGAUCCGUAGCUGGUCUGAGAGGAUGAUCAGCCACACUGGAACUGAGACACGGUCCAGACUCCUACGGGAGGCAGCAGUGGGGAAUAUUGGACAAUGGGCGCAAGCCUGAUCCAGCCAUACCGCGUGGGUGAAGAAGGCCUUCGGGUUGUAAAGCCUUUUUGUUGGGAAAGAAAAGCAGCAGGUUAAUACCCCGCUGUUCUGACGGUACCCAAAGAAUAAGCACCGGCUAACUUCGUG
rnacentral:rRNA from 1 species